CUUGGUGGUAGUAGAAAAUAUUCAAAUGAGAACUUUGAAGAGUGAAGUGGGGAAAUGCUCCAUGUGAACAUCACUUGGACAUGGGUUAGUCGAUCCUAAAAGAUGGGGAAUCCUUGUAUUAAGGAUGCACUCGGCAUGAACAUCAAAAGAGAAUUGGGUUAAUAUUCCCGAACUGGGACAUGGUGGUGGACGACAAUGUUAGGAAAUAUGGAGAUGUCAUCGGGGGCCUGGGAAGAGUUAUAUUUUCUUUUUAACGACUUCCCCACCCUAAAAUCGAUUGGGACAUGGUGGUGGACGACAAUGUUAGGAAAUAUCGAGAUUCCAUCGGGGGCCUGGGAAGAGUUAUCUUUUCUUUUUAACAACUUUCCCACCCUGAAAUCGGUUCAACCAGAGAUAGGGUCCAACAUUUGGAAGAUCACCACACAUCUUGCGGUGUUUGGUGCCCCCUCGGCGGCCAUUGAAAAUAUGGAGAACUGAGUACCAUCCAUGCCCGAUCGUACUCAUAUCUGCCUCCUUGGAUUUUUCAAUGCCC
rnacentral:ncRNA from 1 species